rnacentral:rRNA from 1 species
CAGAGGUGGCAAGCGUUGUUCGGAAUUACUGGGCGUAAAGGGCGCGUAGGUGGCCUUCUUAGUCAGACGUGAAAUCCCCGGGCUUAACUCGGGAACUGCGUCUGAUACUGGAAGGCUCGAGUUCGGGAGAGGAAUGUGGAAUUCCAGGUGUAGCGGUGAAAUGCGUAGAUAUCUGGAGGAACACCGGUGGCGAAGGCGGCAUUCUGGACCGAAACUGACACUGAUGCGCGAAAGCCAGGGGAGCAAACGGGAUUAGAUACCCCGGUAGUCCUGGCCCUAAACGAUGAGUGCUUGGUGUGGCGGGUAUCGAUCCCUGCCGUGCCGAAGCUAACGCAUUAAGCACUCCGCCUGGGGAGUACGGUCGCAAGGCUG